AGUGAACGCUGGCGGUAGGCCUAACACAUGCAAGUCGCACGAGUGGCGGACGGGUGAGGAAUGCCUGGGAAUCUGCUCUGUGGUGGGGGAUAACGUAGGGAACCUGACGCUACUACCGCAUACUAUUGAAUGAGCCCAUGUCGGAUUAGCUGGUUGGCGGGGUAAAGGCGCACCAAGGCGACGAUCCGUAGCUGGUCUGAGAGGAUGACCAGCCACACUGGAACUGAGACACGGUCCAGACUCCUACGUGAGGCAGCAGUGGGGAAUAUUGGACAAUGGGCGCAAGCCUGAUCCAGCCAUACCGCUUGGGUUAAGAAGGCCUUCGGGUUGUAAAGCACUUUUAGUGGGAAAGCGGUACCCAAAGAAUAAGCACCGGCUAACUCCGUGCCAGCAGCCGCGGUAAUAC
rnacentral:rRNA from 1 species